UACAUUUAGAAAAGAAAUUUACAAAAUAUAAACAUUCAGCAAGUUAAUUUUUAAACUCCACAAUAAUACUACACAUUUUUGUAUUAAUGCAACAGCUGGCAUGUUUUUGUAUCAAACUAAAUAAAAAUUCACAUGAAACUAAACUUUCUUGUUGAAUUCAUUCGUUCAUCUGAUCAUAAAAAAAUAAAAUCAUCAGAAACUUUUUGAAAAACAUGUAAAAAUGUUUUAUUGAAGCCUUUGACCUUCAUUUAUUCAUUCAUUCAUAUUCAAUAUGAAUAAAAAGUUUCUGUAGCACGUCAGGAUCACUAACACCAAGAUAAACAUCAGUACUUCCUACACUAAUACCUACAUAAGGCCACUAGGAAUCAUGGGACUGAUGGGGCAGUUUAACCCCGGCGCAUCAUGGGAAGACUAAUGGUGUAAAUAAACAAGCAAACAAAAAACUAAGGAACAUUAAAACAGAAGGAAGAAAUUUUGAAUGAGAACUUGUUGAAAGUUUUUUUUCACAGUUUGUUUGUUUUAGCGCUUCCUUCCUGACCUCACUGCGGCCACGCCCCCUUGUUUCCCAGAAGGCAGAGUCACGGUGAGGUCAGAGAUGAUAAAUUAAAAAUAAAUAAUCAUUAAAUAUAAAUAAAGAGGAGGAUGGAGAGCUGCGAUUGGUUCCUUCAAACCUCCAACAGAUGGAACAAUCUGUUGGUUCUGAACGAGAGAACCUUUGAAACGUUCCCGAGUCCCGUCGUGGGAUCAGGACGAUCACUGAAACGGUCAAUCUGAUGAGAAUGUUAAGAACGUCUUUGUACUGAGUUUUUAUUUGCCUGAAGAACAUGUUCUACCAACAUGGUUGCGUAUUCUAGGGUAGCGAAAGAACAACCCACCCUACAUACCCUCCGAUUGGCCAGUACUUGUUGGCUCUGUUUGCAUGAUUGUUUAGGUUUAGGUUUAAGGUAUGAAGGUCGGGGUAAGAAGGUCAGGGUAUGAACGUCGGGGUAAGAAGGUCAGGGUAUGAACGUCAGGGUAAGAAGGUCAGGGUAAGAAUGUCAGGGUAAGAAGGUCAGGGUACGGACGUCAGGGUAAGAACGUCAGGGUAUGAAGGUCAGGGUAUGAAGGUCAGGGUAUGAACGUCAGGGUAAGAAGGUCAGGGUAAGAAGGUCAGGGUAUGAACGUCAGGGUAUGAACGUCAGGGUAUGAACGUCAGGGUAAGAAGGUCAGGGUAAGAAGGUCAGGAUAUGAACGUCAGGGUAAGAAGGUCAGGGUAAGAAGGUCAGGGUAUGAACGUCAGGGUAAGAAGGUCAGGGUAAGAAGGUCAGUGUAUGAACAUCAGGGUAUGAACAGCAGGGUAAGAAGGUCAGGGUAAGAACGUCAGGGUAAGAAGGUCAGGGUAUGAACAGCAGGGUAAGAAGGUCAGGGUAAGAAGGUCAGGGUAUGAACGUCAGGGUAAGAAGGUCGGGGUAUGAAGGUCAGAGUAAAAAGGUCAGGGUAUGAACGUCAGGGUAAGAAGGUCAGGAUAUGAACGUCAGGGUAUGAAGGUCAGAGUAUGAACGUCAGGGUAAGAAGGUCAGGGUAUGAACAGCAGGGUAAGAAGGUCAGGGUAAGAAUGUCAGGGUAUGAACAGCAGGGUACGAACGUCAGGGUAAGAAGGUCAGGGUAUGAACAUCAGGGUAAGAAGGUCAGAGUAAGAAGGUCAGGGUAAGAACGUCAGGGUAAGAAGGUCAGGGUAUGAACAGCAGGGUAAGAAGGUCAGGGUAUGAACAGCAGGGUAAGAAGGUCAGGGUAAGAAGGUCAGGGUAUGAACAGCAGGGUAAGAAGGUCAGGGUAUGAACAGCAGGGUAAGAAGGUCAGAGUAUGAACGUCAGGGUAAGAAGGUCAAGGUAACAACGUUAGGGUAAGAAGGUCAGGGUAUGAACGUCAGGGUAAGAAGGUCAAGGUAACAACGUUAGGGUAAGCAAAUCAGAGGCAGAGUAAGGCGAACCAUUCCUUCAAUACCCUUGGAUUGGCAAAUUCAUGAGCGUUUCACAGUGACUCAUAUUAGAUCUAAGAACUCUACCGACCUUUAACCCCUCUCGUAGAACUCAUUCCAGUAACACGUUCCUGAACACGGAACAUGUUCCAGAGUCAUUGAUACAUUCAUGGAUCACGUUUUAUUAGCUUAUAGUAACACUGUCUGGGUGUAACGGAAACACGACACAUUUUCCAU